rnacentral:rRNA from 1 species
CCUACGGGAGGCAGCAGUGAGGAAUAUUGGUCAAUGGCCGGGAGGCUGAACCAGCCAAGUCGCGUGAGGGAAGACGGCCCUACGGGUUGUAAACCUCUUUUGUCAGGGAGCAAGGUGCAGGUCGGGACCUGCUGUGAGAGUACCUGAAGAAAAAGCAUCGGCUAACUCCGUGCCAGCAGCCGCGGUAAUACGGAGGAUGCGAGCGUUAUCCGGAUUUAUUGGGUUUAAAGGGUGCGCAGGCGGAGGCACAAGUCAGCGGUAAAAUCGCGGGGCUCAACCCCGCUCCGCCGUUGAAACUGUGGCCCUUGAGUGCGCGAAGGGUAGGCGGAAUGCGUGGUGUAGCGGUGAAAUGCAUAGAUAUCACGCAGAACUCCGAUCGCGAAGGCAGCCUACCGGAGCGCAACUGACGCUCAUGCACGAAAGCGUGGGUAUCGAACAGGAUUAGAUACCCCAGUAGUC